rnacentral:rRNA from 1 species
CCCUUAGAUGUUCUGGGCUGCACGCGCGCUACAAUGGCGUUUUCAAAAAGAUUGCUAAUCCGAAAGGACCAGCGGAUCUUCGAAGUGGCGUCGUGAUCGGGACAGUUGAUUGCAAUUAUUCGACUCGAACGAGGAGUUCCUUGUAAUCGUGCGUCAUCAGCGCACGCUGAAUACGUCCCUGUUCUUUGUACACACCGCCCGUCGCUCCUACCGAUCGAGCGAUCCAAUGAAUGUUUCGGAGCGGAACUGAGAUGCUAAUGCGUCUCUUUUACGCGAAUUUGUGUGAAUUUGAUCGCUUAGAGGAAGGAGAAGUCGUAACA